rnacentral:lncRNA from 1 species
UCCCGAGGCUAAAUUAAAGUAUUCUUGAUUUUUUUUGUCAUUCAGGCCAAAAAAGAAAUGUUGUAAAAACAUGAGUUCUGGUAAAGUAAGAUUAGGUGUAGAGUUUACAAAACUAUCAAAACGAUCCCAAGCCUUGCCCAGCGAUUCCAUAUCUAAUUAUUUGAAUCCUAUAAUUCCAAACCAAAGCUUAACGACCUUUUUCUACUGAGAAAAAUUUAAUGCAAAACUCUUUUCG